rnacentral:lncRNA from 1 species
AGUCAACAUUUAGCUUUCACCCAAAUUAAAAAAAUUAAAUAUUUUAUUAUUUUUAUAAUUUGUAUCCUCCUUUAAUUAGAUGAGGAAUCCAAUUCAAUUUAUCAUGGACCUCAUUAGCAUAAAAAGAAGGAUGUUUUUAUUCUAUUCUAACUAGAAAAGGAAUCUAAGUCAAAUAACGAAAAAUUACUAGUGUAAAUAGAGAGUAUAUGUUAUAGUUUUGGAGAACGGUGCAUAAAAAAGAGGGGGAAUAGAGAGAGUGAAAGCCAAGAGGAUAGACUCUACUUUCC